CCUUACCUAUUACUAGCUUCACUUUCUCUGUCAGGACUCUGUCUUUGUUCACCAGUGGUCCCUUUUUUCCCUGUGACGGAGCAUGUUGUCAUUUUUUCUAAGGUGGAAAUGGAGUCCAUCACAGUUCUGAGUAACAUAAGUGUAUGGAAUUGAAAGGACAUAAGGGUUGAUGAUGACAAGGUGAUGACACAAAGGAGCUUCCAUUGCCUUUAUUGCAACUAGGACUGACAAUAAUGUCUGCAAACCCUUCUCCAAAUAUUAAGUCUUAUUCUAUUACAACAUUGCCACCUGCCAGCAACCAAAUAUCUGUUUAAAAAUAUGUUGUCAAUUUUUGUAAAUAGAUCAUUUUGUCAAAAUAAAGAUUAAAAAAAUCUGCCACCACAUUUGUGUGUAGCCUAUAUUGCCUUUAUGCAGAUUUCAAAUGUAUUUAUAUAAUUUAUCAUUGGAACCAAAGUACACAUUAUCACACUUGUUGAUGCACAGUAAAGCCAAAAGUUGAUGUUUACGCAAACAUUAGCCUACUUGUGGUUUGGUAACAUGUGAUCCACAUGUUGAAACUAUUGCAUUAUAUAAGACAUUUCUCACAUGUGCUUUAUGUUAUAACAUGUUCCACAUGUGCGCUAUUAUGUUGCAGCAUGUGGUGAGAUGUUGUUCACACGUGGUAAUAUUGUCCACAUGUGAGCACAUAUUUUCCACAUGUGAGCAUAAAUUGUCCACAUGUGAGCACAUAUUGUCCACAUGUGAGCACAUAUUGUACACAUGUGAGCACAUAUUUUCCACAUGUGAGCAUAAAUUGUCCACGUGUGAGCACAUGUUGUCCACAUGCGAUAACAUGUGAUAACAUGUGGUCACAUGUGACCACAUGUGAACAACAUGUGAAAAACAUGUG